rnacentral:rRNA from 1 species
UGGGGAAUCUUGCACAAUGGGGGAAACCCUGAUGCAGCGACGCCGCGUGAACGAUGAAGCCCUUCGGGGUGUAAAGUUCUCUCGACAGGAACGAUAAUGACGGUACCUGGAGAAGAAGCUGCGGCUAACUACGUGCCAGCAGCCGCGGUAAUACGUAGGCCGCGAGCGUUGUUCGGAGUUACUGGGCGUAACGAGUGCGUAGGCGGCGAGCCAAGUUUGGUGUGAAAUCUCCCGGCUUAACCGGGAGGGUGCGCCGAAAACUGGGUGGCUGGAGUAUGGGAGAGGAAAGCGGAAUUCCUGGUGUAGCGGUGAAAUGCGUAGAUAUCAGGAGGAACACCUGCGGUGUAGACAGCUUUCUGGACCAAAACUGACGCUGAGGCACGAAAGCGUGGGUAGCAAACA